AUGCAGAGGCCACUCAGCGAAGGCCGCGGGGCUCGGGGGCUCGGGAACUCGGGUCCCGGCCCCACCCCGCAAGUCCUGAGACUCGGUUGGUGCACGCCGGAGCCUGGGCGCCCCAGCCCGAGUCGGAGCGUCUCCUUUGAGGCGGAGAAUCGGCCACGCCGGUGCACUGGCCGUCCCGGGGAGGCCUGGGCUGCCUCCGGGGACACACUGCUGCCCGCGGCCUUGGCACCACCCCGCAUCCCCGCCGAGCCCCCCACCCCCAGCAGGGUCCCCGGCCUCGCAGGCUCCUCCGGGCCCCCCGCGUGCAGCAGAAGCCGCCCCAGCCGUGGCCCCUCGACCCUCGCGUGGACGCUGCUCUCGGCUCCCAGGACACAGCCCGGCCCCCAGCCUGGCCCCGUGCUUCCUGGCGACCUUCCGCAGGAAGCCCGGACAGCGACCCCGUUUCCCCGGUUCCCGGGGGCGGCAGGGAGCAGUUUGGGGCCCUCCCGGCGGCCUGGCCCCAAGGACGAGGACGCCGCCGCUGCCCUCCGGGAGCCGCCGAGGCCCCGCGCCGCCCGCGGUCCGAAACCUGCCAGAGAGGACGGCGGGGAGGGCAGCCCGCCCGGCUCAGCGCGAGGAAGGAGGCGCCCCGCAGCCCCCCGCAGCCCCCGCAGCCCCCCGCCGCCCGCAGCCUGCCCCGGACACACGGACACGCGGCUGUCGCUGGCAGGCAGGAGUCCGGGGCGGACGGAAGACAGACGGAGGACUCCGCCCUCCCCCUGCCGCGGCGGCCUGGGUGAGAAACAGAGGCCUGCGCCCCUACGGGCAGGUCACGGGGUGCAGGGGGCGCCCGGGCUGUCCCUCCUCCUCCCUGCCUCUCCCGGAACCAGGGGCGCAGUGCCACACCUCCACUGGUGCCACACCUGCACCUGUCCACGCAGGCGCCCUGCAGCUUCCAGGACGCGGCGGCGGGUGCACCUGGCGCUCACCCAGGGCCCCCCACCCCGGCCCAGCCAGGCAACCUGCGCCCGCCCCGGGCCAUCAGCCCCUCUUUGUUCAUCACGUGCACCAUCCACGCCGAGGUCGGCUCGGUCCUGCGCUGGGCUGCACGGUCCCGGCGCGGGGUCCCUCCGCUCUUCCCCUCAACCGAGCGGUGGGGCGCGGGCGGGCCCGAGGCUACUGAGUUCCCGCGGGGCCUGGGGCAGCUCGGCCCCCCACACCCCCCCCACGGCACUGACACCUGCUACACCUGACAGGUGUGGGGACGACUGA
rnacentral:lncRNA from 1 species